rnacentral:rRNA from 1 species
UGGGGAAUAUUGCACAAUGGGCGCAAGCCUGAUGCAGCCAUGCCGCGUGUGUGAAGAAGGCCUUCGGGUUGUAAAACACUUUCAGCGGGGAGGAAGGCGUUAAGGUUAAUAACCUUGGCGAUUGACGUUACCCGCAGAAGAAGCACCGGCUAACUCCGUGCCAGCAGCCGCGGUAAUACGGAGGGUGCAAGCGUUAAUCGGAAUUACUGGGCGUAAAGCGCACGCAGGCGGUCUGUCAAGUCGGAUGUGAAAUCCCCGGGCUCAACCUGGGAACUGCAUUCGAAACUGGCAGGCUAGAGUCUUGUAGAGGGGGGUAGAAUUCCAGGUGUAGCGGUGAAAUGCGUAGAGAUCUGGAGGAAUACCGGUGGCGAAGGCGGCCCCCUGGACAAAGACUGACGCUCAGGUGCGAAAGCGUGGGGAGCAAACAGG